GACGAACGCUGGCGGCGUGCCUAAUACAUGCAAGUAGAACGCUGAAGGAGGAGCUUGCUCUUCUGGAUGAGUUGCGAACGGGUGAGUAACGCGUAGGUAACCUGCCUGGUAGCGGGGGAUAACUAUUGGAAACGAUAGCUAAUACCGCAUAACAGUAGAUGUUGCAUGACAUUUGCUUAAAAGGUGCAAUUGCACCACUACCAGAUGGACCUGCGUUGUAUUAGCUAGUUGGUGGGGUAACGGCUCACCAAGGCGACGAUACAUAGCCGACCUGAGAGGGUGGUCGGCCAAACUGGGACUGAGACACGGCCCAGACUCCUACGGGAGGCAGCAGUAGGGAAUCUUCGGCAAUGGACGGAAGGCUGACCGAGCAACGCCGCGUGAGUGAAGAAGGUUUUCGGAUCGUAAAGCUCUGUUGUAAGAGAAGAACGAGUGUGAGAGUGGAAAGUUCACACUGUGACGGUAUCUUACCAGAAAGGGACGGCUAACUACGUG
rnacentral:rRNA from 1 species